GUUGACUGUAACCUGAGUGUGAAAAUUGACUGCAGGUGCGGAAAAUGUAAACGCAGUACACCCAACAAAAUGAAACUUCAAUUGAGUUUUCUUCACUCCGUAUUCGAAAAGAUAAACACAUAUAUAGGCCACAUAGAGUAUUUGCUGCUUGUCUCCCAGGACCUGCAAAAUGGCCCAUAACCAGCAGUCGCUGUUGUCUACCUCAGAAAGACCUUUGGGAACCUGGUGUCUCAAAUGCAAAACUUUCCAGUCAUUGUUGAGAAUCUUUAUCAGCGGAGGGUUUUUAAUGACCAUGAUGUGAAGGCUGUCAAAGCGAAGUGGGGAGAGCAGGAUAAAGCCAGAUAUAUAUUAGAUCGAGUCAUUAAUGAAGGGGAAACAGCCAGUUAUGAGUUACUCAAGAUUUUGGAUUUCACUUGGAAGAGGACGUUACGCCCUACUUUACAUAACUGGAUCAAACGUUACUCCUUCAGGGAAGAUUCAGAGACCAUCUAUUCAUUUGGCACAAAACCCUGUAAAGGCUACCAGACACAGCUUAAGAUGAAAGCAAAAAGUGUUCUGGAGAACCAGACGGAACAACAGAGCACUAAGUAUCUGCUCCACAAACAGCAAGAAAAUUUCCAUUUCAUACCUCUCGCUUCAGGGGAGGAAUAUGUGGUGAAAAACCAACAAUAUAAAAAGCUGGGAGCUUAUAUUCCUAACCAGAAAGAAACCGUUUCACCUGCAGAUCUACUGAGAUGGAUGGACAGGAACAUUCUACUGAUUGGCAAACCUGGGAUAGGAAAAACCACAAUCGCACAGCAAAUGUUGCGUCUGUGGACGGAGAAGAAAGGCACAGAGCCAUACUACAUGUUUUACUUUAAUGAAAACAUUUUGUCCCAUAGCAAUAAACGUAUGACUUUGGAAUCUCUUUUGUUUGAUGUGUAUGUAAAAGCAAAAGAAGAAUACCAACAGGAAGUGCUUCAAGAUAUGAAGGUCAAUGCUAAGAAUGUUGUUUUCAUAUUUGAUGGUGUCACUCACGUGCAAGAGGAUUCUGUCUUGAAGAUGAUCAUGAAUCAUGAUGUGCUACAUGAGGCAAAGGUCAUAAUAACAUACAGAACAGAGAUGGAAGAUACACAUUUUUUCUCAGAUUUGACCACAAAGAAAGUGUAUGUUCAAGGAUUCAGUGAAGAGUCCAUCAGAACUUACUAUCAGAUGACGUUGGGUCACAAUCCUGAUCUUCUGAAUGUGGUGUUGAACAAUCAAGAGCUGUUCAGUCUCAGCUAUGUGCCAAUGUUUGCGUUCAUGAUUGCAAAUAUGAUUCUUCUCAAAGACGACACAGUGCUCAACAAUCCACACACAGUCACAAACAUGAACAUCCACAUUUUCUUUCAUGCUUUGAUGAAAUAUGGGGAUAAAAACCUUUGGGAAAUUGAUGAAUAUUUGAAAGAGAUCAAAGAUCAGCUUUAUCUCUUGAUGAUAAAUGCAUUCAGUGCAACUAAGCAGAAAAGUCUGAACCUUCCAGAGAUCAGCAGUGAUGAAACUAAUAUUUGUCAUGCUUUUCUGAAAAUGAUCCCAAUAAGAGACAGUCUGACGUCUGAAACCAAAUACUGUGCAUUUCUCCACAACACAAUGCAGGAAUUCUUCUCAGCUCUGUGGCUUGUUGAGAAUCCAUAUGAAAUUGAGAAAGUCUUGAAACUGUGUCAGACUGAAGAGAAUCAACACAUGAGACAUGUUCUGCUUUUCCUGUGUGGACUUCUGGGAGAACAUAACAACAAACUCCUCAAGUGUCUCUUCUCAGAGGAUCAGAUGAGGAAAACAUCAGAAUGCUUCAUUGAGAAACCUUUGGACACUUUCCUCAAACCUCAGAGUGAAGAUGAAGACAUUGAUCUUCUCUAUGUGUGUCAGUGCUUGUAUGAGCUUCAGUCAUCUAACGCUUGCUUGAUGUUUCUGGAGAAGAUGAAGCAUCAGCUGGACAUUGAUGUGAAUCUGGACCCUCAUCAGAGUUGUGCUUUGUCUUAUGUGAUCAGUCAAUCCAGACAUAAAGAAGUUCAUCUGAAUUUACAGAACCGCACUGUAUCUGACACAGGAAUGAUCAUGAUUCUCUCCUGUUCACCACAGAUCAGAUUAAAACCAUGGAAAUCUGAUUUCAAUCAAAUCAAAUUCUUGCUACAAUUCAUUCAUAAAGUGUCUGUUAAAAAAACUUCCAUGGAGGAUGAGAGGAUGACAUCAUAUUGCUGUUGCAACUCUUUCACAGUUUACAAAAACCCCACAGAACGGGCUGAUGCCCUGCUGGAUCUUUACUCGCAUGUGAAAGACUAUGAAUCUCAAACAGGCAGGAGUUUACUUCCAGCAUUACAACUUGUUUUCCAGUCAUUACCUGAUGUCUGGUCCAUAGAUCUCUCAAAGAGAAAGACCUCCAUCCUCCUGGAAGUGUUGAAGCUCCAGACAGUGAAGAAACGAGUAGAGCUGAGAGGAUGGACAGAUGAAAAGAGUGAAGUCGUGCAAUUCCUGCACUGUCUGCCCUACAUUUCACAGUUGGGGUUUAGAUGUUUUAGUCUUUAUGAAGAUUCCACUAAAUCAUCUGUCAUACGGUACCUGCUAAGUCUCAUUGUAGCAGCGGAAUACAAGACAGUUGGAGAAAAGAGGCAUUCUACUUUGCUUUCUUCGGUGUGCAGUUAUAAAGCGUUCCCUUUUCAUUGUUCACGGCAUGUACAUGGGAAGUAUACUCACAUUUGUCACACAGAUUUUUUACUGGAUCUUUGCUCACAUGUGAAGGACUAUGAGACUCAAACAGGCAGGAGUUUACUUCCUGCAUGUAAGCUGCUUUUUCAGUCUUCUGCUGAUGUCUGGAUCAUAGAUCUCUCAAAGAGGAAGACCUCCAUCCUCCUGGAAGUGUUGAAGCUCCAAACAGAGAAGAAACCAGUAAAGCUGAUAGGAUUUCCAAUGAAAGAAAGUGAAGUGAUGAGUUUCCUUCAGUGUCUGCCCUACUUCUCACAACUGAGCUUUGUAAAUAGUAAUACUAGUAAACAAUCCAAAUUUCUUUUGAGACUCUUCAUUAAAGCAGCAGAAACUAAGAGACUGACUGGAGAGCAGAUGCAGAAACUGUUGACUUUAGUCUGGGAUACCAGCUCGUUGACAUAUCUCAACUAUGAACAGAGUGAUUUUCUGCUGGAUCUUUACUCACGCGCAAAGGACUGUGAGACUCAAACAGGCAGGAGUUUACUUCCAGCAUUACAGUCAGUUUAUCAGUCAUCACCUGAUGUCUGGAUCAUAGAUCUCUCAAAGAGAAAGACCUCCAUCCUCCUGGAAGUGUUGAAGCUCAAACAGAGAAGAAACCAGUAGAGCUGAGAGGAUGGACAGAUGAAGAGAGUGAAGAGAUGAGUUUCCUUCAGUGUCUGCCCUACAUCUCACAACUGAGAUUUUAUGGUGGUGGUAAUGUUACUGCAGAAGGAUUUAUUGCGCGUUGUUUCAUUAAAGCAGCAGAAACUGAGAUACAUACAAGAGAUCAGAUGCUGAAACUGUUGACAUCGGUUUGUACAUACAGGAAUUUUCCU